AAAAAGAUAAACCCUGGGAUUUCGUGUCCAACUUUGAUUGUUCGUCUAUAUGAAUUUUUUUUAUAAUUCGUAUUUUCAUUGUUGUUAGAUGAUAAAAUAUGAUUAAUAUUUUAUGCGUGACUUGUCUUUUUAAUAUUUUUUUAUAAUUUUUUCAAAUAAGACGGACGGUCAAAUAUUAGGCACGGAAACCAGGGUU
rfam:Oryza barthii chromosome 3, whole genome shotgun sequence.